GACGAACGCUGGCGGCGUGCUUAACACAUGCAAGUCGAACGGAAAGGCCCUGCUUUUGUGGGGUGCUCGAGUGGCGAACGGGUGAGUAACACGUGAGUAACCUGCCCUUGACUUUGGGAUAACUUCAGGAAACUGGGGCUAAUACCGGAUAGGAGCUCCUGCUGCAUGGUGGGGGUUGGAAAGUUUCGGCGGUUGGGGAUGGACUCGCGGCUUAUCAGCUUGUUGGUGGGGUAGUGGCUUACCAAGGCUUGGACGGGUAGCCGGCCUGGGAGGGUGACCGGCAACAUGGGGACUGAGAUACGGCCAGACUCCUACGGGAGGCAGCAGUGGGGAAUAUUGCACAAUGGGCGGAAGCCUUAUGCAGCAACGCCGCGUGCGGGAUGACGGCCUUCGGGUUGUAAACCGCUUUCGCCUGUGACGAAGCGUGAGUGACGGUAAUGGGUAAAGAAGCACCGGCUAACUACGUG
rnacentral:rRNA from 1 species